GUUCAACACGACUUGAUUGAAAGUAUGGACCUGCAACCAGCCUGGCAAGAUGUAAUUGUGCUCUUGAGUCUUGGACCUUGACAAUUAUGCCCGCAAAGAAAAAAAUCCAGGAGCGUUGUUGUGAGACUUAAAAGCAGAGGGACAGGACCUUCUCUGUGGUCGGCCCUAAACUCUGGAACACUCUGCCCCUUCACGUUUGAACAGCCCCCGCAGUGGAGAGUUUUAAAUCUCAUUUUAAGACCCACUUUUACUCUCUGGCUUUAAGCACCGCGUGAGUUGUGUGCUCCUCUGUGUCUUUUAUUUAUUUUUUAUGUAUUUUAUUGGCUUUAUUUAUUUAUUCCUAUUCCAGGAUUUUGCUCUUAUUUUAUUUUACUGGUUUUAUUAUUUUAAGACUAACAUGAUUAAAUCUGAGCGUUUAUUUAAUCAUUUUAUUUUUGUUGUUAUUAUGUAUUUGUGGAGCGCUUUGGAAACUCUUUGUGAAAUGUGCUAUAGAAAUAAAAUGGAUUGGAUUCUA